rnacentral:rRNA from 2 species
ACUUACAGAUGGACCCGCGGCGCAUUAGCUAGUUGGUGAGGUAACGGCUCACCAAGGCGACGAUGCGUAGCCGACCUGAGAGGGUGAUCGGCCACACUGGGACUGAGACACGGCCCAGACUCCUACGGGAGGCAGCAGUAGGGAAUCUUCCGCAAUGGACGAAAGUCUGACGGAGCAACGCCGCGUGAGUGAUGAAGGUUUUCGGAUCGUAAAGCUCUGUUGUUAGGGAAGAACAAGUGCCGUUCAAAUAGGGCGGCACCUUGACGGUACCUAACCAGAAAGCCACGGCUAACUACGUGCCAGCAGCCGCGGUAAUACGUAGGUGGCAAGCGUUGUCCGGAAUUAUUGGGCGUAAAGGGCUCGCAGGCGGUUUCUUAAGUCUGAUGUGAAAGCCCCCGGCUCAACCGGGGAGGGUCAUUGGAAACUGGGGAACUUGAGUGCAGAAGAGGAGAGUGGAAUUCCACGUGUAGCGGUGAAAUGCGUAGAGAUGUGGAGGAACACCAGUGGCGAAGGCGACUCUCUGGUCUGUAACUGACGCUGAGGAGCGAAAGCGUGGGGAGCGAACAGGAUUAGAUACCCUGGUAGUCCACGCCGUAAACGAUGAGUGCUAAGUGUUAGGGGGUUUCCGCCCCUUAGUGCUGCAGCUAA